rnacentral:ncRNA from 2 species
UACCUCUGGAGAGUCUUUCAUCUGAAAGACACCGAAGGGGCAACCCGAUAAUACCGGGUGAUCUCUCAGGUAAAAGGACAGGGGGGCUAA